GAGCCUGGAAAGUAGACUCGAAGGCUGGGCUGAGCUAGGCAUUGGCAUGGCUCAUUUUGGUCAUACCUUGGGGUUGAACCUCAUCUAUCCGAUGAGUAAGUCUAAUUGUGGAGCAUGUCACCACUGCCAAACACGACACUAUGGUUGAGCACGUCACUAUGAUUGAGCAAGUUGAUCGGCCUCUCCUGCAUAGCUGACGGUCGGAUCCAGUCUACCAUUGAACUCACCUCCUCUCCCUCACCUUCUCUCCUCCUCGAACUCCUCUUACACCCUCAACAAGCUCCCUAUUGGCAACGACCGACAAUGUCGCCUACCCGCCUUGCAGACAUGUGAAGAACAUGACCGGACUCCAUCAUGGUCGCCGCCAUCUCCGAUAUCACCUAGACUUACUCCAUCCUUGAGACCCUUGACGAGCAUCCCGACCACGAGACUACUGUCGAUGUUAAGCUUCCAGCU
rnacentral:lncRNA from 1 species